ACUGUUUGUUCUUUGGAAAUAGGGUCUUGGAAUGGUCUCGAAGAAGUAUCGGCAGUUCUUGGAAUAGGUUGUAGGAUGAUUCUCUUUUAUUUUAAUAUUACAUACAUUGGAGUACACGCCAAAUUUCAACAAUGAGUAAAGUUGGAAAAAUUCAAAUUUAAAUCAAGGAUUUCUUCCUCAAAAUAACGUUAAAACCUCAAACGAUGAAUGAAAAAUGUGCUUUAGGAGCUGAACUUUAAUAAUUGAUACAUUUGGAAGUAAACUAACCGGUUUAAGAUAAGAUUUUUACCAACAAAAAAAUCUCUCUGUCACAAAUUCUAGGUUAUGUUCUCUCGGUGAACUAAGAGAAUGUUAAAAUUAUUACAAUAUAUU